AACAUGGGUGCUCCUCCUUCAAAGGCUCUCGUUUUUCUUGGCUUUGCUUUUGCUGCUUUCUUUCUCUUCUCCACCCACGUCUCAGCAGCUCAGACGGAGGAACUAAUUACAGACCUCCACGAGCACGGCCAUGACCAUGGACACGGCCAUUUCGGACAUGGUCAUGACCAUCACGGCGGACAUGGUCCUGGUGGCCACCCAGAUCAUGGAGAUGCCAAUGGAAUUGGGUUUCGCAGUGAUCAUUCUGGACGUGGAGACGAGCAUAGCCUCCCCCGUAUACCAGGCCGCGGAGACCACCAUAAACCCGGCCAUGGACAAGGCGGUCAUCCCGGACAUGGUGCCGCCGGUCAGACUCGUGAUUGAAGAAACUAAAUACUAAAUCUAUGUUGUAAUGAUUAAAUAGUACUGUGUUCUACCAUAGAAAUAAGUUGGUCUCUGCUCAUGCCAUGCAUGGAUCAACAUGGAUGAUUAGUAGAGAAUAAUGAGAGGUUACUCCAAUUAAUGGGUUAUAUUAUCUUUCUUUGUUGUAUCUAUAGCUUUUAUAUAUUAUCACUUCCUUUUCUAAAUCAAUUCCAUGUUGAAAU
rnacentral:misc_RNA from 1 species